GAUGAAGAACGCAGCGAAAUGCGAUAAGUAAUGUGAAUUGCAGAAUUCAGUGAAUCAUCGAAUCUUUGAACGCACAUUGCGCCCCUUGGUAUUCCGAGGGGCAUGCCUGUUCGAGCGUCAUUAUAACCCCUCAAGCUCAGCUUGGCGUUGGGGCCUGCCGCACGGGCAGCCCUUAAAAUCAGUGGCGGUGCCAUCUGGCUCUAAGCGUAGUAAUUCUUCUCGCUAUAGAGUCACGGUGGAUGCUUGCCAUUAACCCCCAAUUUUCAAUGGUUGACCUCGGAUCAGGUAGGGAUACCCGCUGAACUUAAGCAUAUCAAUAAGCGGAGGA
rnacentral:misc_RNA from 1 species